rnacentral:tRNA from 1 species
GGAGCGGUGUCCGAGCGGUUUAAGGAGGCGGUCUUGAAAACCGUUGUGCCGGAAGGUACCGGGGGUUCGAAUCCCCCCUGCUCCG